AAGUCGUAACAAGGUUUCCGUAGGUGAACCUGCGGAAGGAUCAUUGUCGUGACCCUUAAACAAAACAGACCGUGAACAUGUCAUCCAUGUCGUCGGACUUUGGUUCGGCAAAGGCCUCCCACCUUCUCUACGUCGGAGAGGGGCCGCCAAAGAACCCACGGCGCCAAAGGCGUCAAGGAACACUGAUAUUGCCUUGUUCGGGGUCAUGUUUGGCUUGCCGAUCAUGCCUCGCGCAAUGUUGCUAUCUUAAUCCACAUGACUCUCAGCAACGGAUAUCUCGGCUCUC
rnacentral:misc_RNA from 1 species